ACCACCCCUGAGACAAAAUGUGAACACAUCCCUAACACACACUAGUGCACCAGAUGUAUGCAAGUGUGCACACGUGUGCAGAUCUGGGUGUCCACACCUGCAUGUACGGAGGCAGUCUGCAAGGUUUGGGGGAGCAGGAAGGGCAGCUCUGCUUUUAGGGGGCAAGUGACCCCUAAGUCACACCUGCGACCCCACCUUUCAGAAACCGCAGUCUCAGAGACACCCUCGCAGCGGGCUCAUCUCUGAUAAACACGGCUGCUUUGGCUUAUAAUGCUGCUGACUUUCCCCCUCCCGUCUUCCAGACUUCGGAAAGCCCGGGCAGCCUUGCCUCCUCCUGCCCGAUCUCGUCGGCUAAUCCACAGUCAGGGUGUGAGUUGAGGGUGAAUGACUCUCCCCAGCAGCAUGUUCAAAAGCACUGAUCAUGCCAAAGGAACAGGCUGUGGAUAGUGGGGUUUCGUCCUGGCAAAGGAUGGCAAGUGGGAUAUUUGGGGAACUGCUGGCCCCGCAUCACAUCACAAGGCAGGUGUAUCCUGUUCUCCCCGGUUUUCCAGCUGCAUGUACUUUCACUUCCCCCACGCUUCUCUCUGCUUCUCUUUCUGACUGCAUGUCUGCCUGGGCUCUGCCCCAGGGCCUGGCAGACCUUCCCUUUUCCUGCAGACUGUCAAUCUUUUAGGCUUGAUGGCCACAUACAGUUCCUGUUGCAAAUAUUCAAUGCUGUCAUUGAGUGAAAGCAGCCAUGCGUGCAUGCGUGCAGUCAUACGUCACUUCAGUCGUGUCUGACCUGUGCGACCCUACAGGCUGUAGCCCGCCACGUCCUCUGUCCAUGGGAUUUCCCAGUAAUGACCCUAGGAGCCAGUAAGCCUGCAGCCAGGUCUUCUAACUCCCAGGCCAUUGUUCUGUCCCCACCGGUCAGGAGCAGCCGAGAGGCAGGUCUGCCACCUCCUUGAAGACAAUAAACUCCAUCAGCCAAGAUGAUCAGUCCUGUCAACUACUUCACGGCCACAGCACACGGUACACACUCACUAAAUACUUGCUGAAUGAAUGAAUGAUGGACGGGAAGCAGAUGAAGAGGGUACAGUUGCUAUCCCCUGGUGGCUCUGCCCUGGUGAGAGUCUCCCUGCUGAGUUUCCUCCUCUGCGAGGUGACAAGACCUCAUGGGGCUGCCCUGGGGGAAGGAGACCUGAAGCCCUUGGGAGUUGGAAGGGGCUGAGCAGAAAGCAAUAAUGACCACAAUGUCCAAAGACAUUCUGGGGCAUCUCAGACCUGCCUUAGAGAUUUGGAGGAGCAGGAACAAGCUCUUGUGGGCACGUGCUCUGUGUCAAGCGCUCGGUGGACCUUGUCAAGUGCACACAUCCCGCCGCACUCCCUGCAGCUGUGGAGGAGGCCUGGCUGUGCUCCUGGUCAGAAGGUGACACCAGGCCUGUCUUCAUCUGUGACAACAAGAAUAGAAGACACCCUGACUCUGCACGAGAAGGGCGCCCCGUAACAAA